ensembl:lncRNA
ACUGCCUCUUUGCUCCGGCAGGGAGCUUUGAGAUACCGGGACAGCUGACGCACCAUGGCAACCACUGUAUCUGGAAACAAGACCGCACAUUUGGGGACAGAGAUGACUCAAUCCUCUACAUCAGCAUGAUGCUCAAGGCAGCAGCUGAGAUUGGGAUCAAUGCGAACCACAUUAGGCUUCCCGAGACAGCCACAGAGGACAAAGUAAGAGAAACAUGCCCCAAGCAAUAACAACAAUGUAAUUCGCCUUGUCUUGUUUUACAUCCUUUCUCUCUUUAUAUGUCCAUGCGGCAUUACUUACAAUUCAGUAUAAUGAAAAUUAGAGCC